CCUCGUAAUAGCUAAAGAGGUCCGUAUUAAGUUAGGGUAAAUCAUGUUGACAUGCUUUUAUAGUGAUGGGUAUCUUCCUUUGAAAUCAUAUCAUACUUUCUUAAAGUCCAACCCACAAUGCCAUGUGAGCUGCAGCUUAUUUCGUCGAGCUGGGCGUUCUAAAUGAAAGGGAUGGAACUGUUUGGCUCAUGAAACCAUUUGGUGUGUCUGUGGCUAGAAAGAAGCAAAAAGGACGUUGUACAACAACAUC
rnacentral:lncRNA from 1 species